UACGUAGGAGGCAAGCGUUGUCCGGAAUUACUGGGCGUAAAGCGCGUGUAGGUGGUGGGACAAGUCUGCUGUGAAAGUGCCUGGCUUAACCGGGCGAGGUCGGCGGAAACUGUCCGACUCGAGGACGGUAGAGGGGGGUGGAAUUCCCGGUGUAGUGGUGAAAUGCGUAGAGAUCGGGCGGAACACCGGUGGUGAAGACGGUCCCCUGGGCCGAGGCCGACGCUGAGGCGCGAGAGCGCGGGGAGCGAACCGG
rnacentral:rRNA from 1 species